GCUCGGGGCGCAAUGUCCCUUCCCGCAUCACCUUAGCAAGGAAUGAGAUGCAAGCACCACCCGGAGGGACCGCCAUGGAUCAUGUGCUGGGGCAGCGACUGUGAGCGGCAGCCCCCAAACAUUUGAAAAUACUUUUGCCCCCUCUCUCUCUUAUUUUUUUUUCUUUUGGGGUAAUUUUUUUUUUGUUUUCCACCCCCUUCCGUCGGCCACCCCCGCCCCGAGCCAGGACACACCCCCGAGGGGUGUGGGCCGGGGGGGUCGGUUCUCGCCCGCGGGGCGCUGCCGAGUCCGAGGCUGGCGGGGGCCUGCGGGGCCCGGCGGCGCCGGGCCGGGGCCGGGGCCGGGGCAGCCGGAGGGGAGCGGGCGCCCCCGGCCGCCUCCCCGGGGAUGCUCCGGGCCCCGGGAGAGCCCGUGCUGGGCAGAUUUCCUUAUCCGGGGAUCGCAGGCCACAUCGCCAUUGGCCCGUGCUGUCACAUGGACUCAACUUUGUUCACUUGACACAGCCAGAGGCGAGAGAGCACUUUCCAACAUGAAGCGAUGUACCAGCCGCGGUCAGCCUGCAACGAGCAGCUCUACUCGUCCUGUCAGAGCUCCGGCCACCAAGCAGCGGUGUUAUCCCCCCGGGGUCAUGUCCAUCCUCCUGCCGGACUGCAAAGCCACCUCUCUGAGCCAAACCAUCCCUGCGAGCCGGUCACCCCCAGCCCACCACCCUCCUGCAGCCAAAACUCUCUGAACCAAAGCCCUUCCAAUUCCUCUUGCAAAGAGCCGGUAGUUUACCCCUGGAUGAAAAAAGUCCAUGUAAGCACGGGUAAGUGAACUAAAGUGGCUUUGCUUUAUACUAAGUAGCACCUCAAAGUCUUGUAGAAAUCUUAUUGCACCAGUUGUAAAAUAACCAUUCGUGGAGAUUUACGAUCGCCUGUUUGCAGAGCGGUAUAAUUACAUCCUCCAUAAAUUUUUAUUGCUCUGCUUGGCCAUGUGCCUUUGAAGUCUCUGUUACCAUCCUCCUCCAAUUUCUUGCAGGCUACUUUUUUAUGGCUGUUGAAUCUUCAUAAGUUAAGUUUUAUGUUUUCGUAAUUUGUAUUUAAGUAGCGGGUUGAGUAAACUUUUACUAUUUUCCCUUCCUUUACUUCCUUUUUUUCUUUGUGUGUGUGUGUUCGCUCGUGUGCGAUAUUUAAUAAAAAGGAGUGUGUGCGCUUGUCUGUGUGCAUGUGUGUAGGGGAAAACUUGAAAGAUUUGGGGAUAAUAGAGUGAUACUCAAGUAGUGGUGUGUAUAUAUGAGUGUAUACAUAUGUAGAGGGCAUGGAAAAUGUGUCUAGGGGACCUUAUAAAAACGUUUAGACAGGAAUACACGUCAAACAAUGAGGAUGGAGGUGGAGAUUUGGAGAUAGGCUCGGGGUAUAUUUUUAAGUUUGUGGUGCUUCUUUUUUUAUAUAUAUAUAUUUUAUUUCCCCCGACAAAAGAAUAUAUAAUGCUUUUUUUUUUUUUUUUUUUUUUUUUU
rnacentral:lncRNA from 1 species